ensembl:lncRNA
GCCCUGGCAACAUGCAAAAACAACUCUCAUCAGACUCUGAUUCAAGUCCCGUGGUGCUAAAUUCUGAUUGGUGAACAGAAUGGUAGAAAAAAAAAAAUACAGAAACCAACUGAACCGUUGAUUGAUUUAAAUGGAUGCAAAACAGAAGCUGCGGCUUUAUCUGGUAACAGCAGUGACACACUGUCACUUGACCUUCAAGUAAUUCCGCUGCUUUGCUUUUUUGGGCCUAAGCAUCAAAAGAUGCCAAUCUGCCUCAGAUUAUAACUACAUGAGCAUCUGCAAAGGCAGCAGAGCUUCUCAGCAUAAUUACAAGUCCACCACCGAGGCACAAAGAGAGUCAGCUCUGACAGAACGACAGCAUUGUGCUUGAUGUUAUUAGAACAUAGUUAUUUGAUUACGGUAUGAAAAAGAUGCCUCCUGCCCUUAUUGGAUGAUGUCAGUGAGCUGAAUAGAGUGUUCCUUGCCUUGAAGUAAAUUAGCUCAUACAAUAAGUCAAAAAAGUAGUUUGUGUGCUUACAUAGACUAAUUAUUAGAGCCGAUCUACAUUCAAUAUUUUGAUCAAUAUACUUGCCGACUAUUACGUAGCAUCCAUGACCCUGCAUGCUGCGAUGGCGCUGAUGAGGAAGUUGUGCUAAUUUAGCCUUAAGCCUUACAAACCAAUCUGAACAGAGUCAUAACUAAGACACAGCAUUUUAAAUCUGACCUUUCGACUUAAUCUUGUGGCGCCUGUGGAUGUAAACGGUGAAGCAACCAAAGUCGUCCACGCGACAGAGCGGAAAGCUGUGGGUGCAAUAAAAUGACUUAAUUCUCCUCCAUAUAUUCACCGUAGCCAAAUAACUACGCAAGAACAUAAAGAUCUCUGACGCCUGUGAUUAAAUGUUCCUCGUAGUUCCUUUAGUAUUCAGUGCUGUAAUCGAUAGUAGUUCCUCAAAAAGAUAUAUAUGUGAGUGUGUGUGUGUGUGUGUGUGUGUGUGUGUGUGUUGUGUGUGUGUGUGUGUGUGUGUGUGUGUGUCUGUCCGUGUCUGUGUAGAGCACUAGUUUAAAGAAGGAGGAUGUAAUUGAGUCAAACAAAUCAACCUUGCUAUUGCAUUUGAAUCUCAAAGAAGCCCUUCCAAUUUAACUACAAUUAAAAAUGACAGACCUCAUAUGACAUAACAUCCGUGGUAUCCAUUAUAAUGUAUAAUAAUGUAAUCCAUUAUUAUAGUAUAAGGUGAGACAAACACAGGCGUGGAGUAAAAGCUAAGCUACCU